UCUCUGUGGAUUCGACAAUCUUUUAUAUUACUCUGACGCGUUCCUAUACUUGUGAAAAACAUGCACCAGGGUUCGAUUCCUCAAGUUCAAGUCUACCUCACAGUGUCAAAGAAGUGAGGAGAGAGAACUUACCUACCGGAGCAACUCCAGAGGUUCUUCCGGUCGUUGCGCACCGAGGUUCAAGACUUCCUACUUCUUCAGGUAUUGCCAUUGUGUGCAUUCUAAUAAGCUUCCCCCACAGGACUCUUUUUCAGUCACUCACUCUUUGUAAGUAAAUGUUGUUAUAUAGCGUGACAGUUUGGAGUUAAUGCUAAUGUUGAUUUGCUUGAUUCGCCUGAUCUGGAAGACUGCAAUGCGACCUUUGGUGCGACUCUGGUUAUUGACCGGUUGCUGUUGCAGGGGUCGUACUUUGGUGCAUAUAUAAACAACGCACACGAGACCAAAGUGGGCCAUUAGGAGCUUAUUUUCCAUGGAUGCUCCUUCACAUGAAAAGGCAACAUCCUCUCGACUUGAACUAUGCCAAUGUGGCAAUUAUGAUGGUAAUGGUUAGUUUACCGCUGAUUACGCAAUGGUGCUUUACAGGUUUUGGUGUGUGCGAAGCAAAUGAGCGACUUCUUGAGUUUUAUGUUAAAUUUUGCACUUGUUAUUAGUGCGAAAGUCAAGGUUUAAUAAUCGAUUAGAAUCGAAAUCAUUUGUUGACUUGGGUCUGGUUUGUGCAUGGCGAUUCGAGUUAUUUCCAAAGAUGGUAAGCUCUCCUAAUCCUCCACGUGAUGCCGUUUCAAUAUGCAUUGCAAAUGGAGUCAUUGCAUUAAUGCCUGAACUUCGACGACUUUGUCUCUACUGAAAUCGUAGGUGGCGGGAUACAAGAGUUCCAACCUGGCUUGAAAAGAAGAGGUCCGGAUUUGGAAUUCUAUCGGAAGUUCUUGUAAUGUAAAAACUUUCCGGCACACUAGAUACAUAAUAGUGUAAAAUGAACAUGGCUACUGUAACUUUGUGAAUUGUAUACUGUAACUUUGUGAAUGAACUUGAUUGAACUUUGUAACUUUGUAACUUUGUAUAUUGUAAUAUGAACAUGGAUAUAAAUUAUUUGUUUGCAAUUGAAUGGAAAGCGUAUGUCGUAGCUUAUGGAAUAAACUCGCCGUAAAUGAAAUGUAAUGCCAAAGUUUAAUGGGAUAUGCAUUGAUUCCGCCUGCUAUUCUUGAUGAUGGCAGCUUGAAUGGUUUGACUGAACUGAUGUGUGAUGCUUGGCAAUGUUGCAGGUCUGUUCUGGCUGUGUUUCAGCAGGUCUUCUUUUGUUGCUAGUUUGAUGCAAGUUCAUGAGUUGCUGCAUGUUCAAGACUUGGUUUGCUGCAGGACUUUACUUGGCUCAUGUUUGUGUUCUGCUACAGGUUGGAUGAUUUGUGGCAAGGUUUUGCAGAAUUGUGGCUUGUAUUGCAGGUUUUGGUGACUGGUGCAUGGCAUGGGAUGUAUGAGGCCUGCUUCUGACCUUGGGCUAGGUUUUAUAGCAUUGUGCAAGCUAGGUUUUAUAUUGAGUUUGCAAGGUUUUGUUUUGGCUUGUGUGGGUUUAAGCAACAUGACAUCAAAUUGGACUUUGAGGCAAUCAUGUACAUUUGGCAAACCAAAGGAUCAAUGGUCAAUUUGGAAGAUAGGAUUAGGAUUACACUUGGGGGGUCUAUGGUUUUAGGAUGGAAAGGGGUUGGGUUGACUUUGGUCAAAGUUGACCGAAAAGUCAACUGUUGCCCAAAGUCAACAUAUAGUCAAAAUGCUAUAUUUGGUAAUUUUCCAUAUUUUGGACAUCUUUAUGUUUUGUAAUGGAAUUUUCUAUUCUUGAAUGAAAUAAAAUUGGCAUAGAAUGAA